rnacentral:rRNA from 1 species
UACGUAGGGUGCAAGCGUUGUCCGGAAUUAUUGGGCGUAAAGAGCCCGUAGGCGGUCUGUCGCGUCUGCUGUGAAAACUCGGAGCUUAACUCCGAGCCUGCUUCCGAUACGGGCAGACUAGAGGUAGGCAGGGGAGAGCGGAACUCCUGGUGUAGCGGUGGAAUGACGCAGAUAUCAGGAGGAACACCGGUGGCGAAGGCGGGUCUCUGGGCCGUAACUGACGCUGGAGGAGCGAAAGCAUGGGGAGCGAACAGG